AUUGAACGCUGGCGGCAGGACUAACACAUGCAAGUCGAACGAGUGGCGGACGGGUGAGUACUGUCUGGGAAACUGCCUGAUGGAGGGGGAUAACUACUGGAAACGGUAGCUAAUACCACAUACCAUCAGAUGUGCCCAGAUGGGAUUAGCCUGUUGGUGGGGGAACGGCUCACCAAGGCGACGAUCCCUAGCUGGUCUGAGAGGAUGACCAGCAACACUGGGACUGCGACACGUUCCAGACCCAGCUUGGAUGCAGCACUGGGGAAUAUUGCCAACUUGGGUCAAGUCUGAUGCAGCAAUGGCGCGUGUAUGCAUAAGGCCUUCGGGUGGGAAAGUACUUUCUGCGGGGAGGCGUGACCCGACGACGAAGCACCGGCUAACUCCGUGCCAGCAGCCGCGGUAAUAC
rnacentral:rRNA from 1 species